rnacentral:rRNA from 1 species
CCCUUAGAUGUUCUGGGCCGCACGCGCGCUACAAUGAUGAAUUCAACGAGUUUAUAACCUUGGUUGAAAAGCCUGGGUAAUCUUUUGAACUUUCGUCGUGAUGGGGCUAGACCCUUGCAAUUAUUGGUCUCCAACGAGGAAUUCCUAGUAAACGCAAGUCAUCAGCUUGCAUUGAUUACGUCCCUGCCCUUUGUACACACCGCCCGUCGCACCUACCGAUUGAAUGGUCCGGUGAGGCUUUGGGAUCUGAGCGGAAAGAGCGUUUCGCUGUUUCUGCUCGGAAAACUCAGUCGAACCUUAUCAUUUAGAGGAAGGAGAAGUCGUAACA